rnacentral:sRNA from 1 species
AUAAUUUGUUAUUAAAUUAGAUUGAAGUUUCCGAAUUAUCUAAUAA